AUUGAACGCUGGCGGCAGGCCUCACACAUGCAAGUCGAACGAGUGGCGGACGGGUGAGUAGUGUCUGGAAAACUGCACGAUGGAGGGGAAUGCCUACUGGAACAGGUAGCUAAUACCGCCUACCAUCGGAUGUGCCCAGAGGGGAUUAGCUAGUAGGUGGGGUAACGGCUCACCUAGGCGACGAUCCCUAGCUGGUCUGAGAGGAUGACCAGCCACACUGGAACUGAGACACGGUCCAGACUCCUACGGGAGGCAGCAGUGGGGAAUAUUGCACAAUGGGCGCAAGCCUGAUGCAGCCAUGCCGCGUGUAUGAAGAAGGCCUUCGGGUUGUAAAGUACUUUCAGCGAGGAGGCGUUACUCGCAGAAGAAGCACCGGCUAACUCCGUGCCAGCAGCCGCGGUAAUAC
rnacentral:rRNA from 1 species